GUGAGCAGAGCCCCUCACCCCCGACGACAGACUACGCACCGCAAGAUUCUGCACCCCGUAAACCACGAAGCACACUGCCGUCGCCUUUCCCCGAGCCCCGUGUAUGCCAAGGGCACAGUGGGACGCGCUGACACAGGCGGCAGCCGUGGGCCCCUGCAAAGGCCGUGGACCGUUCCGUGUGUCCCGCGACCCCACUACUGACUUCCCCGGAGGAAAGUCGGCACGGUCGGGUCCAGAGGAAAAGUCCAGGGUUGGGCUCCGGGGGCUUUCCCCACGGGGACCCGCGCCACGUUGCAGUGUGGCUGCCGUUCGGGCUGGAAAACUGCGCAUGUGAGCCACAGUCUUUCCACAGGUAAGCGAGGGCUCUGUGGCCGUGUGCGGUCGGAGUUCCUGACUGAGGGGCGUCUUCCUCCCGGCAUCUUCGCAGAUGCAUCGUGGCCCCGAGCGGACGCGUGAAUCGCUUGUUCAGAAGGACCGAGACCUCGGAGGGCGCUCUGAGCUCUGCUGUCAAAGGCUGUUUCCUGCGCGCAAGUGUAACGUCAGGACCACAGGUCACUGCUCGGGGCUCUUCUGAGGCGGGCGCAUGAAGACGCUACGCCGUGACGCUCCCGCAGGUGGUGACGGCAGGAGCCCUCCUAAACGACGGGAAGGACGCCGGGAAGGGACCCACCUGUCCGCUCCGAGUCAGUGCCCCGCUUCCGUCCCUGCCCAGCCUCCCCUGGUAACGGCCGUCGGUUUGUGUAUCGGAGCGCGCUCGCAGGGGAAACUGGCUGUCCGUGCGGAAGAACCAGACGGCCUCCCUCACGCACAGUGUGCUCACGGCCGCCUUCUCUACGGAAGGGGAGGGGGACUGGCCUCCCAGGGCCCCUCGACACAGUGUGACCCCCCAGCCCGUGCUGUCCGCUGUCCUACGUCAUCGUCUGCCCAGUGGGCUUGCUCCCCCACGACAUCUCAGCACGUCCAGAGCAGGGGUCCUCCGUGAGCACGUACCCAGGUCUGGUGCCUGAGCCCCCGCCCUCCCCCGGGGACACGUACCCAGGUCCAGGUGGAGGACGCGGACGCAGAGAUCAGGGACGGGCCUCGCAGGCCUCAUCCCCGGGGCCAGCGCGUUGGGCACUGCCCACAUGUGCAACCACGGACUGGGGUUCUGUUUUUCAUCCCUACUGAAGGCCCCAGGAUGGACAUAAAACUGAGUGACUGCCUGGAG